rnacentral:lncRNA from 1 species
AUUAACCCUAACCUCUUGAGAUUAGCCAAUGCUCAAAAUGGUAUAGCUGGACUAGGAGGUUUAAACCCUAUUAUAUUUUACAUAUAGAACUAUUUCAAAUCUUAGGAGUGUUUCAACUACGCGCAUGAGCACCAGGCGAUGUGAGACUCAUCUUACUAGCCUUAACUAACCUUAUUGAAAGUUGUGCUCCACCCAUAAUAGUCGUAAGCCGCAGAACCGCACUCUACGUGCCAUAUUACAUGUCGUAUGAUCUUAACGCUGCCGAAACUCAUUUCAUACUUCCGGCUGGUGAUUGACUAUAGUAGCAACUGUGACGCCCCACUUAAUUUCUAGAGGGUCAUCUAUUAUGUAACUACUCUAAGGGGCCGUUUGGUUGGAUAUAGUUGCAGAAACAGUGUAGUUGGAAAUACAUGCAGUUGCAAAUGCUGCAGUUAUAAUUACACCUAGUCUGUUUGGUUUUACGCAGUUGCAACUGCUGCAGUUACAUUUCUUCUGUUUGGUAAUAUGAAGCUGAUAGUUGUAUUUAUGAAUUUUGUCACCUCUUCAGAUAGAGUGGUGAGGUUUCCUUCAUUAAACAUAAAAUAAUUAUAUAAAUUUAUUAAUUAUUUAAAUUUACUAUUUAUAAAUAAAUAAGUAGAUAUAUAUAAUAUUUUUAUAUUUUUCAAUAAUUCUUCAACUUAUUAAUCGACACAUUUAAAAUUUUUAAUUUAUUUAAUUUUAAUAUGUAAAUCAAACUUUAAAAAUUUAAACGAUUCUCUCAUUUUUUUAAUCAAAUUUAAUAAUUAUAAUUAAUUAAAACUUAUUAAAUUAACAUACACGAUCACAUUCUAUAAAAAUUUAGAAAAAAAAAACUAUAUUUAUAUUUUAAAUAAAAUAAAUUUAAAAAAAUUAAUUUUUUGCACAAAUCUUGUAUUGUCUAAAAAAUUUUAUUAGUAUGAGUUUAUUUAUAAGUAUUUUUAUUUACCUAUAUACUUAUAUUAUUUAUUUAUUUAGCUAUUUAUUUAUUUAUUUAUUAUUGUUAAUUUGUGGGUAAUCCUAUUCCUCACCAACUGCUGCAGUUAGAACUACGACCAAUUUGGAUGUAGUUCCAACUGUAGCAUUUGGGCCUUCUUGUGCAGUUGGAACUGCAGCAGUUGAACUCAACUACACUAAACCAAACAAAGGAAUUGUGGCUGCACGCAUUUGCAACUGCACUGCAGUUGCAAAUGCGUACAACCAAACAGCCCCUAACUCUACUAGUGAAACCCCAGGUGGCUAAAUCUCUUAAUCCAGCUAUAGCAUUUUGGGCAGUGAUUUGGUCCAACAGGUUAAGAGAGUUAAGCGUGUUAAGACUAGAGUAGUCCUAUAAUGGGUGACCCUUGAGAAGUUGGAGCAUUACAGUUGGUAUCAAAAUCAAUUACCAGCUGGCAGUAUGAGAUUAGUUUCGAUUGAGUCAAAUUAUACAGCGGAUAAAGUAAGACUCCCAUACUGAUGAUUAUGAGCAUGGCUCACUCACAAGGUUGGUUAAGAUUAACAAGACGAGUCUCAUAUUGUCUGAUACUUAUGACUCUGAGCCAAACGAGAAUGUCACAGCUUAAAGAGAGGGAAAAAAUAUAGGUCCCCAAAUAGUCCUAUAUAUAAUAUAUAAUAUGAUUAAAACUCUUAACCCGCCUAUAGUAUUUUGGGCAGUAGUCAGUACUUCAACCUAAGAAGUUAAAAGAAUUAAGCGUGAUAGGACUAAAAUAUUUCUAAGAUGAAUAAUCCUUAAAAAAUUUGGGGCCCCGCAAUACUUAAAUCUCUUAAGCCUAACGGUCAUUCACAAUAUUAUAAUUGAAUUAAAAAAUCUAAUUAUAUUAUAUUUUAUAUAUAUAUAAAUAUUUUAAAUUUUAAGCGCCUUCACAUAUAUAUAUUUUCUUUUUCUUUUUUUACCAUCCCCUCCCAAGCUUCCAACA